AGUACUUUUUGAAAACCAAAAUAAUGGUUGAAAAUUCCAGCAUCAACAGAAAAGAUAAGUUUGUUUUAGGUUAGCGUUCCGCCAUUGUUUUUCCUCUAGCUCAAUAAUUUUUCGGUGCCAAUAAAAUUUUCAACCCGAUCACCAUGAGCAGUAUGGAUGAUUACAAUCCUAUGAACGGUUCUGGGCGAAUGGGGAAACUAUCGGAUACGGCUCAACUUUUCGGAGGAAGCUGCUUCCUGAGAAACUAUUUACUGGAUGAGCUGAUCUACGAGAACAAUGUCAAGUAUGAUCUUUCUGCAGCAAUAUCCGCAAUCAGCGAUUUGUCACUUUUUGAUUUUAAUAACCUUCCGGACGGCUGAUCAGAAGAAAUGUUCAAAACUAUAAACGAACGUACCGUGACGUGUAAAGAACACAUUCGCUUGCGCAGUCCUACAAAUGAUAUGUUUAUCCGGAAGAUUGUUCAUCAAAAUUUACAGGAAAGAUGCACGCACAUACGGAUUGAUCUAUGCAUGGAAUUGUGAUAGAAAUAGUUUCAUGAGUAUGGUGCUCCAAUGGCUCGGGCUUCAAGGAACUGUAACCGAGCUCUAUACUAAACAGACCCAGCAUGUUAUCGAGCCUUCUGGACUCUGGAACGAUUACAUAAAAGUUUCAAUUUCAUUCAGGCACGCAACUUGGCACUAUGAAUUGAAGAAAACAAAAAUUAUAAUUUAUAAUAAUUAAAUACUAUUCACGUUAAUUAAAACGGUAUAACUCUAUUA